GGAGGGGGCAGCGUUGUUCGGAAUUAUUGGGCGUAAAGGGCAUGUAGGCGGUUCGGUAAGUUAAAGGUGAAAUGCCAGGGCUUAACCCUGGAGCUGCUUUUAAUACUGCCAGACUCGAGUCCGGGAGAGGAUAGCGGAAUUCCUAGUGUAGAGGUGAAAUUCGUAGAUAUUAGGAGGAACACCAGUGGCGAAGGCGGCUAUCUGGUCCGGUACUGACGCUGAGGUGCGAAAGCGUGGGGAGCAAACAGGAUUAAAUACCCUGGUAGUCCACGCUGUAAACGAUUGAGUGC
rnacentral:rRNA from 1 species